GCUGGGCAUGGUGGUACAUGCCUGUAGUCCCUGCUACUCAGGAGGCUGAGGCAGGAGGAUCACUUGAGCCCAGGAGUUCAAGGCUGCAGUGAGCUGUGAUCACACCACUGCAUUCCAGCCUGGGGUACAGAGUGAGACCCUAUCUCUA
rfam:Gorilla gorilla gorilla genomic chromosome, chr22, whole genome shotgun sequence